GAUGAACGCUGGCGGCGUGCCUAAUACAUGCAAGUCGAGCGAACAGACGAGGAGCUUGCUCCUCUGACGUUAGCGGCGGACGGGUGAGUAACACGUGGAUAACCUACCUAUAAGACUGGGAUAACUUCGGGAAACCGGAGCUAAUACCGGAUAAUAUAUUGAACCGCAUGGUUCAAUAGUGAAAGACGGUUUUGCUGUCACUUAGAGAUGGAUCCGCGCCGCAUUAGCUAGUUGGUAAGGUAACGGCUUACCAAGGCAACGAUGGGUAGCCGACCGGAGAGGGUGAUCGGCCACCCUGGAACUGAGACACGGACCAGACUCCUACGGGAGGCAGCAGUAGGGAAUCUUCCGCAAUGGGCGAAAGCAUGACGGAGCAACGCCGCGUGAGUGAUGAAGGUCUUCGGAUCGUAAAACUCUGUUAUUAGGGAAGAACAAAUGUGUAAGUAACUAUGCACGUCUUGACGGUACCUAAUCAGAAAGCCACGGCUAACUACGUG
rnacentral:rRNA from 1 species